CACAGAAGACGAAGAGCUGGAAUAGAGCUCGCCUCGGCUCUGCUGGCCUUGGCUGCAGCUCUUCCAGAAACCCGGGGCGCCCACAGAAGAAUCUCUUACCUGGCUCUCUCUUCAGGGAUGACAUCAUCGGCUCACACCAGUCUUCCAGGACCACCUUCUGGAUGCCAAGGCUGCUGCUCGAGUACCUGCUGUGCACCUCUACCUCCUGAGCCAAGGAGCACGGAUUCCAGGAACCCACUACCAUACAGAGCAACUCCUUGUGGACCCCCCUGGGAUCAGGACAGCGAGGGACAAGCGACAAAGAGGAUCAUCAGUGGCCAGCUAGUUUCUCUGGGGUUCAAACCUUGAACCAGUGCCCUAGUGAGGGGGCACUGGCCAUGGCCCUUGACCUUUGCUCUGCUUGUGUCUUGAGUCUGAGCCCUUUCCUGUACAUCUGUGCUCGUGUUCAUCUGCUAGUGAACUGGAGUGCUGCCCUCCCCGAGGAGGGUCGUCCCUUGUGACUGAUCAUGCUGUCCUAACAAUGUCCUGAGCAAAAGGGUCCCUUUGGGAACCUCUCAGGAGGGGGACCCGGGUCAGGGGCGACCAGCAUCUUGCUGGCAACUCCGUGGGUGGGGUGGGGUGGGGUGCUUCCUUCUGGAAUGAGCACGUGGCUGACCCCCCAAGGCAUGUCCCCUCCCCCUCCUCCACCCACCUUCUCGGAGAUGUCCCUUUUGGGGUAGUGGGGACAUUAGGAGCAACCUCCUAGGGUUGUUGUGAGAAUUAAAUGAACUGCAGCAGCCUGAGGCAGGGCUGGGCAGAGACCUCAGCACAUGUUUGUUGAAAGGUUUGCAGGUGGAUCUAGUCCUCCCGUUCAUGGCUCAUGUGUCUCAACCAUUCUCUCGCAGACUCCUGCAGCCCCUAUGCCCAGGGCUCUCCUUGCGCCAGCCCCGGCUUCUCGAGGCCUGUCUACACUCGCUGCUUUCCUUCCUCACCUCCAAUUUCCCCUCCAACCCACUGCUUCCUGACUCGCUCUUCUCCAUCGAACGGCUCUCGCUCAGGUUUAAGGCUUGGCUUGCUGGCCCUGGAGAUCCCGUCGCCGUCUUCGUCGAACUCGAAAUCCUAGCCAUCGUCCUUCCCUGGCCUGUCGCGUCUUCCUGUGCCAUUUGCUGUUGUGCUCAGGUUCCACGAGCUGCCCAUCUCCACAGAAGAGCAGCUGGCAUUGCCCACCGGCCAUGCCGGCUGAAGAAAAGAAGACUGAGGACCCCAGGAUGCCCAGCGCGAGGACCCCAGGAAGCCCAGCGCGAGGACUCCACCCACGACGCCCAGCGCGAGGACUUCACGCACAACACGUUGCAACCCUCCUGGAUUAGGCCAAAGCCAUCAUCUGGAAUCCUGCGUGGGACCCUGGACACACGGACACAGACACCUGCCCCCAGGACCCUCCAACUGUAAAUCCCUCUACAGCCACGGGGACGCCUUGCACAUUUCCUGUGGGACAUGCUGGACCCAAGACUCUGGACCCUGGCCUCCCCUUGAGUAGAGAGACCCACCUACUGACUGAUGAACUGCGCUGACCCUGGGGUCAGGCAUGUGGCCUUGAUCCCUACCCAUGGACCCUGAGACUUGGGGGGGUGGGAGAAAGGCUGUUGUGUCUUCACUGUUGAGUCUACAUCUGUGAAAUGGGCUCAGGUUCCUACCUCACAGGGCUGUUGUGAGGCAGCCGCAAUGUGCUUAGAAGCAUGGGGCCUAGUGGCUCAUGGUGCUUUCAAUAAAUUUCUUGUUUUAACUAAAGCAG
rnacentral:lncRNA from 1 species